UUUUUUAACACCUAUUAUGCCAUGAAUUCAUAGGGAAUAGGUUCCAGCAGCUCAGGCUCCUUCCCAUUGGUUCUCACAAAGUGUGCUUCUCUGGGUGGAGUAGGCUGGCGCUUUAGUUGAACCCAGGUACCUUUCUCUUUGGCUUCUUUCUUUUUCUGAUCAUUUUCCUUCACACGUUUCAGGAAGCUAUCUCGGCUCUUAGAGUGCUUAAUGUGCUCAAUACGCACAUUAAUUCUCUUGGCAAGAAUCUUGCCCUUAACUUGUUUGUUUACAACAAUGCCAACAGCAUGCUGGGUAACAUUGUAGACUCUUCCAGUUUUGCCAUGGUAACACUUGUGGGGCAUUCCUUUUUGAACAGUACCCAUUCCCUUGAUGUCUACAAUAUCACCUUUCUUAUAGAUUCGCAUAUAUGUGGCCAAAGGAACAACUCCAUGUUUUCUAAAAGGCCUAGAGAACAUAUAUCGGGUGCCUCUCCUCUUUCCCUUUGUGUUCGUCAUUUUGGCGAAUUACUGGAAGAUGGCGGUUCCGGCCGAAAGGGCAAGAUGCAUAUUGGAUAUCUAAAUAGAGAUAUCAAGAAAUGAAGAUAUGCAUUUCCAGUUCCAGAGAGAAAUUCACACUGGAAAUAUAAAUUUAGGAAUUUUAAAGUUAGUGGUCACAUUUAAAGCUGCAGAAUACAAAGAGAUCACCUGUGUGAGAGAACUGAGUCCUGAAACAUACCCGUGUUUAAAGAUCUGGGAGGUGCAGAGGAAUUAUCAAAGGAGGCUGAGAAGGAGCAGCCAGUGAGGUGUGUAGAAAAACAAGAUAAGCAAAAAGAAAAGCAAGAGAUAUGGAACUGAACUUCCCUUUGGCAAAAAAUUUAGAAAAUGAUAAUGAGAGUGAAUUGUCUGGCAGGAACAUCUGUUUAUCUCAUGGACCCAGCCAAAGUAAUCUCAUGUGCAAAUUUUACGCAUUUUCUUCAGGAGGUCAGGCCUUGGAGAUACAACAAUGGUACAAGAGAACAUAUUCACGACCACAAGAAGCUGACAGACUAGGUAUACUGAGGAAAUAAAAUUAAGACAGACUGAAGCCAAAUCAGGGGAAUCUUCAGGCUUGCUCCAGGAAAUCAUAGGAUCAAUUAUUGGACCAUCUACUACUCUGCCUUUCCAUCCCCAUGAAACACUGAGAUGAUUUAUAUGAAUGAAAUUGCUGGUGAUUUUCCAGGUCCAACAUGAGUUAGUUAGUAAAUCUUACGCACCAUGGCAGGUGGAGAUGGAGAGAUGAUCCUUAGGCAGACCCAGGUUGACCCUAGAGUUAGAAAAUAUUAUUUUUCCCCAUGCACACACACACACACACACACACACACACACACACACACCACUAGACAAUUCCUCAUAACCUUGACAUGAAAAUGCCACAGAGUGAGUGGUAAAAAUAGAAAAAUGCCUGCUUUCUGUAGCUAUAGAACAUAUGGGAAAAUAAAAUCCUUAAAAUGACAUUAGACGACAAACUUUUUGUGAUACUAUCUAUAUCCCCUCCAACAAACAGGACCCAUUCUCCAUCCCUCAGGUUGGAGGCUGGAACAUUAGAAAUUCCCAAAGGAAAAUACUAUAUGGAUAGAAGAAUUGGCCAUGGAUUGGCAGAAAAAAAAAAGAUCUUCUUUUUUAUUAUCACUCUUAAAACCUCUUAACAUUGAAA
rnacentral:lncRNA from 1 species